rnacentral:rRNA from 1 species
GUGGGGAAUAUUGGGCAAUGGGCGCAAGCCUGACCCAGCAACGCCGCGUGAAGGAAGAAGGCUUUCGGGUUGUAAACUUCUUUUCUUGAGGACGAAGAAGUGACGGUACUCAAGGAAUAAGCUCCGGCUAACUACGUGCCAGCAGCCGCGGUAAUACGUAGGGAGCAAGCGUUAUCCGGAUUUACUGGGUGUAAAGGGCGUGUAGGCGGGAUGGCAAGUCAGAUGUGAAAAUUAUGGGCUCAACCCAUAACCUGCAUUUGAAACUGUCGUUCUUGAGUGAUGGAGAGGCAAGCGGAAUUCCGUGUGUAGCGGUGAAAUGCGUAGAUAUACGGAGGAACACCAGUGGCGAAGGCGGCUUGCUGGACAUUAACUGACGCUGAGGCGCGAAAGCGUGGGGAGCAAACAGGAUUAGAUACCCCGGUAGUCC